rnacentral:rRNA from 1 species
AACGAACGCUGGCGGCAGGCCUAACACAUGCAAGUCGAACGCUCCGCAAGGGGAGUGGCAGACGGGUGAGUAACACGUGGGAAUCUUCCUAUUGGUACGGAAUAGCUCAGGGAAACUUGGGGUAAUACCGUAUAAGCCCGUGAGGGGAAAGAUUUAUCGCCGAUAGAUGAGCCCGCGUCUGAUUAGCUAGUUGGUGAGGUAACGGCUCACCAAGGCGACGAUCAGUAGCUGGUCUGAGAGGAUGACCAGCCACACUGGGACUGAGACGCGGCCCAGACUCCUACGGGAGGCAGCAGUGGGGAAUAUUGGACAAUGGGCGCAAGCCUGAUCCAGCCAUGCCGCGUGAGUGACGAAGGUCUUCGGAUUGUAAAGCUCUUUUGCCAGGGACGAUAAUGACGGUACCUGGAGAAUAAGCCCCGGCUAACUUCGUGCCAGCCGCCGCAGUAAUAC